AACAAGUACUUUUGGUGGAGAACUUCUUUACCUUCUUCUUGGAGAUGCUAGCCUUAGGGUUCAUCUUUUUCUGAGAAUCUUUCUUUGCCUUCUUCUUGCUGAUCUUAUCAAUAUGAAGGACCUGAGUCUUUUCACCUUUGAAAUGGCUCUCUACUAUUUUCAAUAUAUUCAACAGUUCAGGCAAGCUUAUAUUUAGUUUGUUUAUAUGAUAAUGUUGCCUAGAUAUGGAGCCC
rnacentral:lncRNA from 1 species